rnacentral:rRNA from 1 species
UAACCUGCCCAAGAGAUCGGGAUAACACCUGGGAACAGAUGCUAAUACCGGAUAACAACAGAUGAUGCCUAUCAACUGUUUAAAAGAUGGUUCUGCUAUCACUCUUGGAUGGACCUGCGGUGCAUUAGCUAGUUGGUAGGGUAACGGCCUACCAAGGCGAUGAUGCAUAGCCGAGUUGAGAGACUGAUCGGCCACAUUGGGACUGAGACACGGCCCAAACUCCUACGGGAGGCAGCAGUG